rnacentral:rRNA from 1 species
CUGCUGCCUUCCGUAGGAGUUUGGGCCGUGUCUCAGUCCCAAUGUGGCCGUCCACCCUCUCAGGCCGGCUACUGAUCGUCGCCUUGGUGGGCCGUUACCCCGCCAACAAGCUAAUCAGCGCGGGUCCAUCUUACACCACCGGAGUUUUUCACACAAAUCCAUGCGGCUUCGUGCGCUUAUGCGGUAUUAGCACCUAUUUCUAAGUGUUAUCCCCCAGUGUAAGGCAGGUUACCCACGCGUUACUCACCCGUCCGCCACUAAG